GGGUACGUUGAGCAUAGGGACAGGGUAAGUUGAGCAUAGGGACAGGGUAAGUUGAGCAUAGGGACAGGGUAAGUUGAGCAUAGAGACAGGGUAAGUAGAGCAUAGGGACAGGGUAAGCUGAGCAUAGGGACAGGGUAUGUUGAGCAUAGGGACAGGGUACGUUGAGCAUAGGGACAUGGUAAGUAGAGCAUAGGGACAGGGUAAGUAGAGCAUAGGGACAGGGUAAGUAGAGCAUAGGGACAGGGUAAGUAGAGCAUAGGGACAGGGUAAGGAGAGCAUAGGGACAGGGUAAGGAGAGCAUAGGGACAGGGUAAAGAGAGCAUAGGGACAGGGUAGGUUGAGCCAACUUGGGGUAAGUGGGUGAUUGUGUCCUGUGACAGUGGGGGCUGGUGCAUGUUCUCAGAGCGUAAGACAUUAAUGUUCUAGACACAUUUCAUGGGAAUGUUGCAAGAACAUUCAUGUGUCCAGGUUCCUAAGGGUUAGGAGAAUGUUCCGCCCGUCCAAACAUACUGUAUACAGAAGAUGGUUGCCAUGUUCUCAGAACAUAAGAUAGUAAUGUUCUAGUAACGUUUCAUGGGAACAUUGCAAAAACAGUGUGUAAAAAAAAAAAUCCAUUACACAUCCUGUUGCUGAGCCAAUCAAGGCCCUGAUCAGUGAACCACUGAGAGCUCUUUGUCUGUUGGCAGAGUUGGGUAUACUCUCACACACAGUGAAUAAUUGAACUUGCAAAGUGUAAUCAUGUGUGUCAAAUAUGUAAGUUAUAAGCACUAACUCUUAUUCAACAUGUCCUCACCUGGGAUUUGAACUCACAACCUCUUGGUCUACAGUACUCCAAUCUUCCUGCUCUCAAUAGUUAGAUGAAUGGAUAUCAGGCAGGGACAUGGUGGCCAUGUCCGUGUCAGAUAUCCAUUAAUCUGAAGAUUGUGUCAUCAUUGAUUUGAUUGACUUAUUUCACAGCAAUUUAAGGACUUUGUGUAUAGGUGUCUAAUGUUGGUGGGGCAUAUAAACCUGUUUUACUGAUACUCCUGAAUCACUAUUAUCAAUAAAAUACUUUUAACAGAGCUGGAAUUUAGUUUGAAAGUGCAUUCACCCUACUACUUACACCCAUCAAGUUGUUUCAGAUCUACACAAGUGUGUAGGGAAGAGAGGUUAGGGUUUCUUCUGGACAGGACCUAACUGUACUAGACUAUAGACUAGACUAUAGACUAACUAUACAUGCCCUAGAGAUAACCCUUAUUGGGAAAGUGGUUAGGGUGUUUGUCAUUAAUGAUGCUGGCCUGGGCUUGAGACCUGCUAAGGGAGUCAUCCUACGCUCACGUUCUCAGCACUAUAUGUUAAUGACAGUUACAACACACUUAUCUGUUCUAAUUCAAAUGAGUUUGAAAGAUGGGAAUCUGUAGGAUUACCUUUGAGCACUAAAUGAUGACCAUAUUUCCACUACCUCUCAUAUGUUAUCAGUAUUUAUUCAUUCUAUACAGCUACCUAGAUUAAAUAAAGGUUCAAUGAAAUCAAUUGUUUUCUUGAAAUCCACACCGUUCAAAAAUUGGAUUUAGCAGCUGCAGAUUGCAGAUUAACAUAUUGUGAUGUCUGCUUUGUCCCAAGUGAUUCUGUUGCAAUCUGUCUGUUUUUCCACAUUAAAACUUGGAGAUGGAACUACGUUUUGUGUACUGUUUUGUGUACUGUUUUGUUAUAACUGG
ensembl:lncRNA